rnacentral:rRNA from 1 species
UAGGGAAUCUUCGGCAAUGGACGGAAGUCUGACCGAGCAACGCCGCGUGAGUGAAGAAGGUUUUCGGAUCGUAAAGCUCUGUUGUAAGAGAAGAACGAGUGUGAGAGUGGAAAGUUCACACUGUGACGGUAUCUUACCAGAAAGGGACGACUAACUACGUGCCAGCAGCCGCGGUAAUACGUAGGUCCCGAGCGUUGUCCGGAUUUAUUGGGCGUAAAGCGAGCGCAGGCGGUUAGAUAAGUCUGAAGUUAAAGGCUGUGGCUUAACCAUAGUAGGCUUUGGAAACUGUUUAACUUGAGUGCAAGAGGGGAGAGUGGAAUUCCAUGUGUAGCGGUGAAAUGCGUAGAUAUAUGGAGGAACACCGGUGGCGAAAGCGGCUCUCUGGCUUGUAACUGACGCUGAGGCUCGAAAGCGUGGGGAGCAAACAGGAUUAGAUACCCUGGUAGUCCACGCUGUAAACGAUGAGUGCUAGGUGUUAGACCCUUUCCGGGGUUUAGUGCCGUAGCUAACGCAUUAAGCACUCCGCCUGGGGAGUACGACCGCAAGGUUG